GCCUCCAUAGCUCAGGGGCAGAGCACUAGUCUUGUAAACUAGGGGUCCAGAGUUCGAUUCUCUGUGGAGGCA
rnacentral:tRNA from 1 species